rnacentral:rRNA from 1 species
AGUGGAUGGGGAGCAACCUAGUUGUGCGUGUGUAAAGGUAGUGCCAAGAAAAGCGAUGAUCAUGUUGAAAAUCAAUUCCCGGUACCCGAAACCGACACAGGUGGGCAGUAGAGAAUACUAAGGGGCGCGAGGUAACUCUCUCCAAGGAACUCGGCAAAAUGACCCCGUAACUUAGGGAGAAGGGGUGCCACCGAGAGGUGGUCGCAGUGAAGAGGCCCAGGCGACUGUUUAGCAAAAACAUAGGUCUCUGCAAACUCGAAAGAGGAGGUAUAGGGGCUGACGCCUGCCCAGUGCCGGAAGGUUAAAGAAGUUGGUCAGUUUUAGGAUGAAGCUAGCGACUGAAGCCCCGGUGAACGGCGGCCGUAACUAUAACGGUCCUAAGGUAGCGAAAUUCCUUGUCGGGUAAGUUCCGACCCGCACGAAAGGCGUAACGAUCUGGGCGCUGUCUCGGAGAGAGGCUCGGCGAAAUAGGAUUGUCUGUGAAGAUACGGACUACCUGCAUUUGGACAGAAAGACCCUAUGAAGCUUUACUAUAGCUUGGAAUUGUGUUCGGGCUUCCUGUGCGCAGGAUAGGUGGGAGGCGUAGAAGGUAUUCUUGUGGGGAUACUGGAGCCAACGGUGAGAUACCACUCUCAGGAGGCUAGAAUUCUAACUUAAUUAAGGACAGUUUCAGGUGGGUAGUUUGACUGGGGCGGUCGCCUCCAAAAAGGUAACGGAGGCGUACAAAGGUUCCCUCAGACUGGUUGGAAAUCAGUCGAAGAGUGCAAAGGCAGAAGGGAGCUUGACUGCGAGAAGUACAGUUCGAGCAGGGUGGAAACACGGUCUUAGUGAUCCGACGGUGCUGUGUGGAAGGGCCGUCGCUCAACGGAUAAAAGUUACUCUAGGAUAACAGGCUGAUCUCCCCCAAGAGUUCACAUCGACGGGGAGGUUUGGCACCUCGAUGUCGGCUCAUCGCAACCUGGGGCGGAAGUACGUCCCAAGGGUUGGGCUGUUCGCCCAUUAAAGCGGUACGUGAGCUGGGUUCAGAACGUCGUGAGACAGUUCGGUCCAUAUCCGAUGUAGGCGUGAGAAUAUUGAGAGGAGCCUUCCUUAGUACGAGAGGACCGGGAAGGACGCACCGCUGGUGUACCUGUUAUGAUGCCAAUUGUAAACGCAGGGUAGCCAAGUGCGGAGAGGAUAACCGCUGAAAGCAUCUAAGUGGGAAGCCCACCUCAAGAUGAGUAUUCUGGUGUAAGGUCACGGGAAGACGACCCGUAAAUAGGCACGAGGUGGAAGUGCAGAGAUGUAUGAAGCCGAAGUGUACUAAUAGACCGUCGGCUU